UACGGAGGGAGCUAGCGUUGUUCGGAAUUACUGGGCGUAAAGCGCACGUAGGCGGCUAUUCAAGUCAGAGGUGAAAGCCCGGGGCUCAACCCCGGAACUGCCUUUGAAACUAGAUAGCUAGAAUCUUGGAGAGGUCAGUGGAAUUCCGAGUGUAGAGGUGAAAUUCGUAGAUAUUCGGAAGAACACCAGUGGCGAAGGCGACUCACUGGACACGUAUUGACGCUGAGGUGCGAAAGCGUGGGGAGCAAACAGG
rnacentral:rRNA from 1 species